GACAGAGGGUGCAAACGUUGUUCGGAAUUACUGGGCGUAAAGCGAGUGUAGGCGGUCUGAAAAGUCAGGUGUGAAAGCCCUGGGCUCAACCCAGGAAGUGCACUUGAAACUGCCAGGCUAGAGUACUGGAGAGGUUGGUGGAAUUCUCGGUGUAGAGGUGAAAUUCGUAGAUAUCGAGAGGAACACCGGUGGCGAAGGCGGCUUCCUGGACCGACACUGACGCUGAGGCGCGAAAGCUAGGGGAGCAAACGGG
rnacentral:rRNA from 1 species